UACAGAGGGGGCAAGCGUUAUUCGGAAUUAUUGGGCGUAAAGGGCGCGUAGGCGGCCUUUCAAGUGACGGGUGAAAGCCCUCGGCUUAACCGAGGAACUGCCUGUCAGACUGGAAGGCUUGAGACCGGGAGAGGUGAGUGGAAUUCCCAGUGUAGCGGUGAAAUGCGCAGAUAUCGGGAGGAACACCAAUGGCGAAGGCAGCUCGCUGGGACGGUACCGACGCUGAGACGCGAAAGCGUGGGGAGCAAACAGG
rnacentral:rRNA from 1 species